rnacentral:lncRNA from 1 species
CUUUGUAACGUAGAGGGAAGUCCUCUUUAUAUGCCCAGUAGGUGGCUUCUGAGGGCUCUGUCCUUAUUACCCCUACAUGGAACGGAGAGAGGAGUUGGCAGACACAAGCCAGACAGUUCUGCUCUUUCUGAUCCAUGCAUUUAGACUUAGAUGUAAUUAAAGAUGUAUUUUAAGUAAGGUAUGUUAUUUCGGAAUAUCCUUCACUGUGAUUGCUUAAACUCUGUGUGUCAGAAAAACCAUAGCUUUUUUAUCUCCUGUUACAAUGUGAGGGAAGUGCUCUGAACCAGCAUUCCAGAGAUCUUAUCCACUAGCUUAGCAUACUGUCUUCCUUGGCCUGCAGUUUUUUAAGCGGGAAAAUGAGUGAUUUAAUAUAUGGUCAUCCUAAAAAUGGCUACUUAUGCCUGCAUAUUAGUCUGAAGAAAGAGUUCUCCUGGUCACAAACUUACUACUUGAAUAGUUUAUAAAGCAAUAGCUUCAAUUUAUGUAUGUGGCAACCAGACUUCAAAGCAGAAUUUUCUAAAGUUCAGGCACUAUACAAAGAUCUCAGGGAAUAUGGCCAUUUCCCCAUGCCAUUUUAAUCUUACAUUUAGAUACACUACUUUAUGCUUUUUAAAUUGACUCAUUUUUUGAUGUAAUUUUAUUUCAAAAGGGAGCAUAUCACUUUUAAGUGGAAAAGUAAUAUCACUUUCUGUGAAUAGAAGAUUUUCUUAAAAUAUAAUGAAAACCAUGCAGAGCUAUUAAAUUCUAGCUAGGUAGUAUUGCCUGUGAAAACCAAGUCCAAACUCUGCCCUUUAUUAGGCUUAAUGAAUAAUAUUAGGUGAGAGUAAAAGGCAUAGACACUAAUCAAAAAGAUUUAAAGAGAAUUUUCUUGAAAAUUAUCUUACCUACCAUCCUACUCUAGAAUAAACACUAUAAGCAACAGAAGGUUAAUCACUGAAAUUUCUUGACUAUCUAUAUAAAGCAAAAAUAUUAAUAUUUAUUUAAAGGCAUAUUUAACUACAUGCAGAUGGAUGUUGCCUCUUGAGGUUUUUAAGUAAGGUAUGUUGUUUUGGAAUUUCCAUAAGUUACUGACCAGCAUUAUCAAUUACAGUAGUUGACAUUAUUCUGACCUUACAGGAAUUAUCUGUUUUUUGAUCUGAGAAUGAAAAAAAUAGUUCUUCCAAUGCCUCUGUUUGAGAGUUCAAAGAGAUUUCCUGGGCAGUCAUGUCAUACCAUCACUUUUGGGCCCAGCAUUCCAGACCUGAAAAAAAUCCCGAGAGUUAUCCAGAUAACUUCCUCAGUUACCCACUUACUAGUCGAUUCUUGAUUUGGCAGUCUUAAUCAUAAAAGCAAAGUUUCCAGUUUCCAUAUAAAUUAAUUGAAAAUGUCCAUAUUUGCCAUAAACACUGAAGGAAUGAGAUCUUAAGUAUAGCAUAUAUUUUGGAUUGUGCAUUUAUAAGCACUAAAGUGUCUCAGAAUUGAAGCGUGUUGGAUAAAAGUUGUCCUGACUUAAAUAGGUUCUUAAAUCCUUUUUGGCAUAUAGGAGGGCAUAAACAAAUAUUUGAUGUCUUCAUGCUUGUGACUCAGCACUAUGUUAUUCUUCAGUAAUAUCUUUAAAUCUUCCUCUAGUCAGGACCAUUUGCCUCUGUUUGCUGCAGGCAAAAUAAAUUUGGCUGCUUUUAAUAUUUUUCAUUCUAAAACUGCCUAAUAGUUUGCAUCCCUCUUCUAGUUUACUGUGUAUUAGGAAAACAUUGGUUCAAACUUGUAAGUAGCUUAAGAAUAAAUAGAUUAUAAGAGAGAGGAUCUGGUGCUUGAGUUUUGAUGUAUGACUUGGGCUUUUCAAAAUGUGGGUAUUUGUCUAUCCUGUUCUUGACUGUGUUCAGAGAGCAGUAUUUAGCUUUAUGCUUAUUUUGAAUAGCAAGAUCUAAUUACUUUGACCAGAGACUUUCUUUAUAUAGUACACUGAUCUUAGAAACUUCCCACAAAAAAAACCCAAGUGCUAGAACUAUUGGCUGGUUUUCUCUCCAGGUGUUCAGGUUUUAGAUUAGCAAUGUGGACUCACACUCUCAAUGAAAAGUAAUGAUUUUGGUUCCAAAAGAACUUGCUUUACCAAAAAUGUACUACAGUACAUAGCAUGUCCAAGACUUUUAGAUGGAUUUUAUUGCUUUGUUUUGUGCCUGAGACUUGAUAACAUCCCCAAAUAUUGGAAAUUUUCUUCUAGGACCUUAAGAGCACAUUUUGCUUUUUAGUUACAGAGAUUUGUUUCCAAUCAAUUUGAAAGAAAGUAAAUUUUCACAGAUUAAGAAAAGUAAUUAUGAAGCACUAUAGCAAAAUAGUAAUGGAAAAGGUCUUCAUUUUGACAACAAAAACUUGUAAUAGUUUUUCCUUUGGUUUAUUUGAGUAUUGCACAGAGUAUCUUAUACAUUAAUGUUACCUUGGAAAAAUUCUGACUAAAUUUAAAGGUGCAAUGAAAUGAAAUUGACAAUCCAGUACUCUCCAAUUGCACAGUGAAAAAUAAGGAGACUUUCCCAUGGCUAGUUAAGAGAGAGGAAAAAAAUAGAGGGACCUAAGUAUUUUCUUUCUAAGUCUCACUGUAUUAAAAUUUAUCUUUAAUUUAAACAUUUUCUUUUCAGUAGUAACUAACUAACUGGAAUUGAGGGCUUAAAAAUUUUUAAUGUCACUUUCAUGUUGAAUGUUUCCAAACAAGUUUUCAUCCUUUUAACAAGCAUGGGUUUAGAGCUAAAGUUUUGUUUUAAAAAGUGGGAGAGGUUUUGUGUGCAUGAGCUUGCAGUACCUGCUUAAGUAUCUCAACAAGUGGUUAAGCCAGUGAAUUUAAAAUAGAAGCUAAAUGUAGAUUUUUCAUACUAGUUUACAUCUAGAAUUAAGCUAGAUGAUUUACUGUUUUACUUUUACCAGAUACUUGCAUCUUUAUUUUAUUUGAUGCUCCACUGAGGUCUGCCCUACCAAGGGGACAGGAGAAGGAAAUUUUAUGCUAUGAAAGAGAAUUUGCUGUACACAUCAUUUUCAAAUAAUCCCCAGAUGUAAACUGGGUGUUAUUUGUUUUCUUGAUGUAUUUUCCCACAUUGACUUGCUUCAUCCUGACUUUUGACAUUGAUAUGAAAAUUCAAAGCUAAUUUAAGUAGAAUGUGAAAGAACCAGUUUGUGAAAGCAUGUCAUGUAGAACUAGAGGAAUGAACCUGUUGCAAUUAGGAAACAUCCUCUGGCUUGGGGUGAGAUGUGCUCCUAAACAGAGUUUCCCAAAGUAUUCCAUGAAUCCAGCAGUCCUGAUCUGCCCAAGAAAGCUGGGAUACUUUGCAUAUUAUAAUCCCUCUUCUCAGGGAUUCAGAUGCUACAUACAUAUUAGGGCUUCUGAGAAACGUUGCCACUUCUAUUAAAAUUCUGAGGUUUGAGUUCUAGCACUGCAAAUAAUAAAUUUCAAGGAAGUAGGGUCCUUUUAAACAGUUUGAGAAGACUCCAUUGAUCAUACUCAAAAACAUUGGGUUAUCAUACUGUAUACCCUAGCUUCCUCACUUUCCUAUAUCCACAUUACUGUGGUUUCUAUGCCAUUUGUACUGUAUUGAAAGGUUUUAGUCAGAGAUAGGGAUCUUGUAUCUUGUUUCUCUUUGUAGGUGAUGCUCAAUUGGGUGUUUAUGUUUAAAGGAAGUGUACAUCUUUAAAGCCUCCCUAAACAAAUCUGAUGUGGAAAAUGGCAAUACUGUUUAAAAACUGUGUGUACUACUACCUCAACUUUGAAAAUAAUUUAACCUGUUCAGCUUCUUGAUUGGUAGAAGUGGCCUAGAUUUCAUAGACAUACAUAGAUGAUUUAGCCUUCAUAUCUUAUUCAAGAAAACUCCAGAUGGACCACUGUUCAUCUUAUGCCCAUUUCUGGGAAAACAUGGACUACAAAGGCAAGUGGUAAUGAGGAUCUUAAGUAAGCACAUUUUAUUAUUACCAUAUGGGUCAAGUGGAUGCUGAGAAGUGACCUCUAGGCAACAAUCUUGUGUUCCCAGAAAGCUCUGAGGUUCAUUACAAUUAAAUGUCAUGAUGUUCCUUUGGCUUUAGAAGCUAUAAAGAUCAACUAAACUGUUUUCCUUCAAGAUUCUCAUUGUUACUUUAGAGUAAUUAAUUUGUUUCUGUAAAAGGCAUUUAAUGGAAAGUCAGAUUUGCUAAGCCAAUGUUACAGUCAACAAUUUCUAUGAAAAGGUAGGGAAAUACAGUGUAUUCUAGAUAGAACUAAAACCUGAAUUGUGAAUGAGGCACAAAGAGUAGCUGAUUGCCCAUCAAUUAUAAUUUCAGAUACAGUCACUUGACAGGGUUCCAAAUUUGCCAUUUCUAACACAGGUUAGUGAGAAAGUGAAAAUUUGUCCUUUAGUUAGUUUUACCUCUUAAGUAGUUGGGGCGUUCAGGAAAAUAAAUUAGGUACAAAGGAUAAGAUAAUUAAAUUAAUCCUAGAACUUUAAGUUAAGCAAUAUUUGAUUUACUGGUAUCUGUAUACUGAGAGGUUUCGGGCUUCCUAUCCAUCUUUACAUAUUUGUAUGUUAAAGCCAUUUUGAGAAUAGUAUUUAUUAUGAAGAAAAUAAAGUAUCAAGUCCUCAUGCAGAUGAUGUACAAAAGGAGAAUUUCCUUUUUCUAUAAUCCUUUCAUUUUACCAAUUUAAAAAAAAGGGCAAAAAUAUUUAUUUGUUUUUAAAAAGGACCAUCUUAUUGUGAUGCAUUGCCUCAAGUUUUGCAAACUGCUGAAGUACCAUAAAUUCUAAAAGAAAGCCAGCUUUUUAAUUCUUAUUGAUUCAUUAUAGUCUCAAACACCAUUUUAGAUUAGAAAGCAACCCAUUUAGUUGCUUGAGGGUUUAUUAGGGACUGCUGAGGACUGAACCCAGGCCUUCACGCAUUCAUGCAUGCUAAGCAUGCACUCUACCACUGAGCUAUACCGCCAGCACCUGCCUCCACUUUUGUGUGUGUGGUGCUGGGGAUUGAACCCAGGGCUUCACACAUACUGGGCAAGUGCUCUCACACUGAGCUACAUCCUCAGCCCCACCAGCCUCUCUUUUGAAAGCUCUGGGAACAUUCAAAAUUAUGAUACUGGAAACCUUUUCUUCAAAGCAUCAUAAAACUCACCCCAAAUCUAGAUCAUGGUUUUGACAAAUGAGUUUUAUUCAUUUUUAAUAAUUAUAAAUAUUUAUAAUGUUUAAUCAAUUGCAAACUAAUGAUUUUAAUAUUAAUUCAAAUCAUAAGAAUGUUUAACUUAUACAUAGUUUGGUAUAAAGAAAUAUAACAGGAUAAUCAAAUGACUAAAGAAUCAAAUGACAUCAUUAGGGUUCUAUUUUGUAGUGGAAGUGAAAAGGAAAUACAAUUUCAGGGGGAAAACAUGUUAAACUUUCAUUUGUAGGUACUUCUAAAAAUGCAUGAUAUGGUAUUUGUAUUUUGUUGGAUAUAUUUUAGUGAUGUAAGUUUUAAAUGUUUUGCUUUAUUUAAAAAGGACAGUAUGGAUAAUAUGCCAGAAAUUCUAUUUUUGUGCAAUCAUGGAAGCUUAUAAUGAAACUUUGAGGUCAAUUUAUAUGUGUGAGAAGUAUGUAGUUUUUUGAAAAAGUGUUAGGAGAUGUGAGAGCAAAACAUUAGAAAUUAUUGAUAGAAUAAUUUAUUCAAUUCUCUGGCCUUUACUUCCUCACCUUCCCUCACACUCAUUUCUCUCUCUUUCUUCCCCCCUCCCUCCCUCUCUCUCUCUUUUUCAGGUACUGGGGAUUAAACCCAGAACCUUACAUAUGCUAGGCAAGUGCUCUACACUGAUCUAUUCCCCCAACCCUCCCACCUUGAAUGAUCUAUCCUACCUCAGCCAUCCACUUCUAUGAUGUUAUCUUAGACGUUACAACUACCAAAAUCUUUACCUACCGUAAAAAUAAAUUCUCGAUAUUAAGCAUCUCUCCCUCUUACAAUCCCUCCUCCACUUUGAACAGUUCUCUAACACCAUCAAGACCUCCAAAAUAUUUCCAUCAAACUUUACCACACUUUCACCUUCUCAGGUUGACUUUUUUUCUUUUUUUAGUACUGGGGAUUGAACUCAGGGCCUCCUGCCUGCCAGGCAAGUGCUCUACCUCUAAGCAAUACUCCCAACGUUUUGUAUUUUUAUAUUGAGGCAGGGUCUCACAAAGUUGCCCAGUCUGGUCUUAAAAUUUUGAGAUCCUCCUCCUUCAGCCUCCAAGAAGUUGGAAUUAUGAAAGUGCCCCCUGCAACUAGCUUCAGGUUAUCUUUGUCUCUGUGAGACUCCAUGGCCCAUCAUGCUAAUUGCAUACAUUCUCAACUCUCUUACUCCUUUCCCUCCUUCAACCCUGUUUAAAUUCAACUCUCACCUCCUUAGCAGCUGCUAGGUAGCUACAAAGUGGCUAAAGUAAUAUGACAAACUUCAAGCAGGCCCUUAAAAUUGCCUGACAGUCCUACUACAUUUUCUCAUCAACUUAAUCUACUCUCUAAGGCCACUAUCUAUAUAUCUCUCUCUCUAUAUAUAUGUAUAUAUACACACACACAUUCAUAUAUAUAUAUAUAAUGUUUUUCCUCAAACCUCCAGUGCUGCUCCUUUCUCCACAUUCACAAGGUGAUUAACUCAAUUCUGUUUCACUGAGGCAAAAACAAAGUUAAUCAGAGUUCUCCACCUGCUUUUUCUUUUUCUUUCUUUCUUUUUUUCUUAACCAGUACUAGCUCACCAGCCUUCCAUCCCCUCUUAUCUGCUCUUAGAGCCAACCUCUCCACUUAUGUGCAGGGACUUCAUCCCUGCAAUCAUCCCCUCUCUCUAAAUAACCCAGGUUUCCCCUUCCACUGGACUUUUCUGUUGGUAAGUAAUGUUAUAUUUCCAAUCUUAAAACAAGAAAAAAAAACGAAUAGUAAUAACCCCACCAUCCCUGUUAACCAGUGUCUAUUUUUAUGUAUGUGUUCACCUUUAUGGAGAAACUCCUCAAAAGCAUUGUCCUUGUCUCUACUUUUCUUCCAUUCUUUCCAGAAUAGCUUUGUCUUCAGCACUCAAUGAAACUGCCUCCCCACUCAAAAAAAAAAGGAACUGCCUUCCCAUUUUCUAAUAUGAUUGCCAACUCUCUUUCAUUAUCUUUUCCUGCUAACAUUUGACACAACUGAUCACUCCUAAAAAUGCAUUUUUAUUUAGCCUCCAGGGUACAGUAUUAUACUUGCUCUAGAGUCUACCCCAAUUUCUGAGACUGUUUUUUCUUGUUCUACUUUGCUGACUCUUCCCUUCUCCCUGUCUCCCAAAUAUUGGAGUGUCCUAGGCUAAGACUGCAGAAAUCUUUGCCAUCUACAAGCCAUUGCCUGGGGAAUCACCCUGUCUUGGUGUUUUUAAACACUUUUUGUACUCUGAUGACUUCCCCAGCCCUCACAUGCUGACACACCCUCCACUGCCCUCAGCAUUUCCCUCAUGGCUAAUGCACAUCUUACACCUAACAUGUUAGCUCCUGAUUCUUGGGCUCCCUCCUGUCUGUCUUCUUUUUCAUGGUAGAUGGCAAUUCCAUCUAUUAGUUUCUCAGGCUAAGAAUCUUGAAGUCAUCUUUGACUCCUUUUUACUCUUACACUCCCAAACUAAUUUGUCUGUAAGUUCUGUCAGUUUGGCCUUCAAGAUACAUUCAGCAGUGUACCUCUGCUGUUCCUUGCCUUCUAGACCACCAUGCCUCUGCCAGGAUGAUUGUAAUAGCCUCCUAAUCAAUCUUCCUGCACCCAUUUUUGCCCUUUAUGUUUAUUGCCAACAAAUUAGUUAAGGAUAUUCAGGGUAAAUCAGUCUCUCCUUUGCUGACAGAACUCUAAUGACUUCUCACAGGAAAACCCAAAGGCCUUACAAUGGCCUAAAAGAUGCCAUGUAAUCAGGCUCUAGUACUGUCCUUGCUCACUCUGUUCCAGCCACACUGUCCACUUCGCUGUUCCUGAGCAUACCAAGCGCUCUCCAGCCAAGGGCCUUUACACUCUUCUUGCCACUCUCCUCUCUUAGAUUUCCAUGUCACUUGCCCCCUCCAUUGUGUAGCUAUUCUACAAACACUUAUUUUAGGUACUAGAAUGCCAGGUCUUCCCCUCACCACCAAAACUCUUAUCUACUUCUGUCUAGAUUAAAAGGAAGACCAUCAUCUAUGAAACUCAAACCAAAGGAUGGUUAUAUGAGCUUAACCUUCUCUGAGAAUUUCAAUAUUGCUAGCUAGCUAACAUGAUAUUAAUCCAAACAAAUCUUGAAAAAAUUUAAGCUAGUAUACAAAGACAUAAAUAGGAAAGCAAGAGCCCAGAUGAAGUGUUCCAAUGACAUGUUAUCUAUUCUUCUACCUUUUUUUUUUUGUUUUUCAUAGCUUCUGAUUAUUUGUCUCCUUUCACUAAAAUGUAAGCUCCUUGAGGGCAGGAACUAUAUGUGUUUUUCACAGCUGUAUUUUCAGUAACUAGAACAGUGCUGACAUACAAUGUAUUCUUAAUAAAAUGAAUAUCAUGGUAUUUUAAAAAUUCACAGUCUACUUGUCUUUGGUCUUUUGGUCUCUUCUCAC